rnacentral:misc_RNA from 1 species
GACUGGGCUAUCUACCAUUUUGAUGCUACUCUCUUUAAUGAGUGUCCGAGGACGGUUUGUAGCAACCCCAAGUGCCAUGCCCCGACGGAAUACUUAUUACGUCGCUGCAGACUCCUACGGUCGCGCAAUACAUUCAGAGUGAGCCGGAGCGAACCCCGGCAAACACUCAACUCUGCCCAAGCCCCGAAGGUCUUGUUCAAGAAGGAUGUCGCUCUCAAAAUGGCAUGCCGAAAUCGGCGCAAGGUGCGUUCAAAAAUUCGAUGAUUCACUAUUCUGCAAUUCACAUUACUUAUCGCAUUUCGCUGCGUUCUUCAUCGAUGCGAGAGCCAAGAGAUCCGUUGUUGAAAGUUGUAUUUGUUAUGAAUAACAAUGACAUUCAUUGACAUCACUAGAGUGUGUAUAAAGCCCCGAAAGGCCACAGUUCACAAGGUGUCCUCCUCCUUACCUCAUGUUUAACGUUUGCAACUCAUUCAUAUGUAACUCAGCGCCAUUGCUGAGCCACAUGUAGUACAAAUUUCUUUAAUGAUCCUUCCGCAGGUUCACCCUUACCGGAAG